rnacentral:rRNA from 1 species
AACGAACGCUGGCGGCGCGCCUAACACAUGCAAGUCGAACGAGAAGGCGUAGCAAUACGCUUGUAGAGUGGCGAACGGGUGAGUAAUACGUGGGUGACCUACCCUCGAGUGGGGAAUAACCCGCCGAAAGGCGGGCUAAUGCCGCGUACGCUUCCAUCUUUAUGGAGGUGGAAGGAAAGCCGUGCCGUGGGCACGGCGCUCAAGGAUGGGCUCACGUCCUAUCAGCUUGUUGGAGGGUAACGGCCUACCAAGGCUCCGGCGGGUAGCUGGUCUGAGAGGACGAUCAGCCACACUGGCACUGCGACACGGGCCAGACUCCUACGGGAGGCAGCAGUGAGGAAUAUUGCGCAAUGGGCGAAAGCCUGACGCAGCGACGCCGCGUGGGGGAUGAA